CAGAGUAAUGUGAUGUAGAUGGUGUAAGAUUAUGAU
rnacentral:guide_RNA from 1 species